rnacentral:rRNA from 1 species
AUUGAACGCUGGCGGCAUGCCUUACACAUGCAAGUCGAACGGCAGCACGGGAGCUUGCUCCUGGUGGCGAGUGGCGAACGGGUGAGUAAUAUAUCGGAACGUACCCUAGAGUGGGGAUAACGCAGCGAAAGUUGCGCUAAUACCGCAUACGAUCUAUGGAUGAAAGCGGGGGAUCGCAAGACCUCGCGCGAUUGGAGCGGCCGAUAUCAGAUUAGGUAGUUGGUGAGGUAAAGGCUCACCAAGCCGACGAUCUGUAGCUGGUCUGAGAGGACGACCAGCCACACUGGGACUGAGACACGGCCCAGACUCCUACGGGAGGCAGCAGUGGGGAAUUUUGGACAAUGGGCGCAAGCCUGAUCCAGCAAUGCCGCGUGCAGGAUGAAGGCCUUCGG